rnacentral:lncRNA from 1 species
AAUAGUAAAAUCGGUUGAAAAUUCAAUCAGAUUUAGUCUUGCUAGUUCUAGUGGAGGAAAAUACUAAUUGAAUUGAGAUGAUAAUUUAAAUGCUAGGUUUAAUACUUUGUCUAGAAAGGUUGAAGCCAUGGAAUUAAGGGAAUUAAAUGAAGUUAAACCCGUGCAAAAUGAUGAAAUUUGUAGCAUUUGUGAAACCUUUGGGCACGCUACACAUGAUUCCCAACAUCACAGUUUUUAAAGAAGUUUUACAUGACCAAGCAAAUUUUAUGAACAGUUUCAAAAAGCCUUUUCCUUCUCUAUACUAUGGCAGAUAUAAUCAACAAUGGAGAAAUCAUCCCAAUUUCAGUUGGAAUGAUAAUCGUUCACAUGUAUCACAAUCUCAAUGGCCUUCAAAAUUUCUUUCUUACCCAUCGCCAAAAUAAAAAACUCUUUAGGAAACAUUGCAAGCAUUCAUGUAAGGGCAAGCAAACAUCAAUAAUCAAACUCUACAAACAAUUAAUGAAAUCAAGAAUACACUCACUUCAUUAACCACUUCCUUGAGUCCUCAAUAGAAAGGUAAAUUUCUCACUCAACCUCAGCGAAAUCCUUCCUUUCAAUUUAAUGUAAAUGUGUCUAGUUCUUUGAAAUUCAACAAGAGAAUGCCAACUCCAUCACGACUCUUCAUAGUGGAAAAAUCAUUGACGAACCAUAUCUUCAAAAUAUUCAAAACUAACUGAGCCUUUAAAACAAGAACGCGAUGUUUUCAAAACUGAGAAAAUACUCAUUUCUGAACCUAAUAUUGAAAAAUGUUCGAUCCCAGUCCAUUUCCUCAAAGAUUACAACCAAUUUCAAAAUUCAAUCAAAAUUCUGAAAUUUUUGAAUUUUUCAAGCAAGUGAAAAUUAACGUAGCAUUAUUGGAUGUAAGAUGUAAGUGGACAAAAACGUGUUGAAUAGUAAAAAAGGAUGAGCUCUCUCUAAUAAAAUGAUCAUAACAUGAGUUGUAUAAGUCGAACUGAGGUAGUUCAAGUUGAGGUGGAACGAUAAGAGAUAGAACUACAACUUUCAUGUUUGCUAAAAAUCUAAAUUCACAUCAUAGGAUAGCUGAAAUUACUUUUCGGAGUGUAAGUUGUUACUUUCCAUGUACAACUUUUCUACCAGUGAGAAGUACUCAGUCUUUUGGCCAUAUCUGGAGAUUGAGGUGUUCGAUAACUUGAUAUUUGUACCAAUGGAAAAAUAAUUCAAGUGGUAACAAUUCAUCUUUUGAUUAAAUGUCCAAAUUUGCUGCACAUAGUAUCUGAAAAGUGGUUUCAAGUUGUACAAGCUAAUUGUCUUCAAGUUGAUAAGAAUGUAUUAUAUUAUUAUACGUAAUAAAUCAAAAAAUUUCUGUUGCAUCUUGAAAAUGCAAACCAAGACUAGGAAUUUUUAACGAACUCUUUUGACAUAAGAAAAGGAAUUUUCUACACCCCUUUCAGCCAUGGUAAAAGAUGUGAGUGUUGGAGUGAAUCAAACAAAUUACUAAGAAAGGUUUCACAGUUAUCUCUAACUAAAUGAUGAGAAUUAAAAUAACGAUACCAAUUUGACAUAAAAUAACAUAAAGUAGUUGUAAGGAUGAAAAUUAGGUGGCACGGCCAACCAUAUAAUAAGAAAAGGUAAUUUGGAAGGCUCAGUUUUCCCUUAAUAAAAAAUAAAAAUGAAGGAGGAUCGGCCUUCCUUUUAAAAUAAAAAUAACUAAAAUGAUAAGAUGAAAAAAGAAAUGAGUGUACCUGAUUUGUGAAUAUUAUGAAAGAGAAGAAAUCCUCACAAAAUCUUAGAACAUGCAACCUGGGAACUGCACCAAAAAUUUGCUACAACUUUAAGGUUGUAAACCUAAGUGCAGGUUGUCUCAACUGGUAAACUUGAAAGUCCGAGGUUUAACCACAAGAUAGCAAACUGUUGGUGAAAAUACAAUUAAAAAGAACACUAGAGUAUUGGGGAUUCACUUCAGAUAAAUGAAUAGAAA